AUUGAACGCUGGCGGCAUGCCCUACACAUGCAAGUCGAACGGUAACGGGCCUUCGGGUGCCGACGAGUGGCGAACGGGUGAGUAAUGUAUCGGAACGUACCUUUCAGUGGGGGAUAACGUAGCGAAAGUUACGCUAAUACCGCAUAUUCUGUGAGCAGGAAAGCAGGGGAUCGCAAGACCUUGCGCUGAUUGAGCGGCCGAUAUCAGAUUAGCUAGUUGGUGAGGUAAAAGCUCACCAAGGCGACGAUCUGUAGCGGGUCUGAGAGGAUGAUCUGCCACACUGGAACUGAGACACGGUUCAGACUCCUACGGGAGGCAGCAGUGGGGAAUUUUGGACAAUGGGGGCAACCCUGAUCCAGCCAUGCCGCGUGAGUGAAGAAGGCCUUCGGGUUGUAAAGCUCUUUCGGCCGGGAAGAAAUCGUAUCAGCUAAUACCUGGUGCGGAUGACGGUACCGGCAUAAGAAGCACCGGCUAACUACGUGCCAGCCGCCGCCGUAAUAC
rnacentral:rRNA from 1 species